rnacentral:lncRNA from 1 species
AUUUUGUAAAGACACCUUGGAUGAAGAAGAUAAGAAAGAGUCAGCAUUCAAGUAUCUGGUGAAUCUGAGUGCUGCAGCUACAGAGGAAAACAACACUGCAUUACUGACAUCUGUGAUCAGCUACACAUCUUUCCCCUAUGAUGAAGAUGAUAUGUAUCUGUUUGAACAGUGUGAUUUCCUGCUGGAUCUGUACUCACAUGUGAAGGACUAUGAGAGUCAAACAGGCAGGAGUGUCCUUCCAGCAUUACAGCCAAUUUAUCAGUCAGCUCCUGCAGUCUGGAGCAUAAAGCUCUCAGAGAGAAAGAGCUCCAUCCUCCUAGAAGUGCUGAAACUCCAAACAGAGAAGAAACCAGUAGAGCUGAUAGACUGGACAGAUGAAGAGAGUGAACUGAAGGGAUUCCUCCAGUGUCUGCCCUACAUCUCUGAAUUGAGGAGAGUUGAGCAGUUCAUCCCAUCACUUUGUGAAGUGUUUGGGUCCAGAGUUGAGGCAGAGCAGGUGACUCCUCUGCUCCAGGCUUUGGACUUCACAGUCACACUGAGUGGAAAAUUACCCAGCAGCACCUGCAGAUCUGUGGGGAGUAGUUCUUGGGCCUUUCACCCUCAAAACUAAACCUGACUCUAAAGACACAAGCCAUUUCUGUCAGAGGAACCAGACUGCUCUUCAAACACAUCAAACACCUGCAGAAGCUGAGUCUGGAAGACAAAAUGUUAGCGAGGAUGGUCAGAGCACUGAGGUCAUUUAAGGGUCCUGUUUUGCUGACCACAGAGGAGCUUUCACUGGUCACAAGAGACUCAAAACAAAGUCUCUCUCAGAUCCUGAGCAACUUGACGUCUCUCCUGAGACUACUGUCUGUCCAGUGUUUGGAUCUUACUGAGUGUAAAUCAGAGGCUCUGUCUCUCACACCAGUGUUGGGUCUCCAGGAACCUCUGUCUAUCAGGCUCUCUAAAGAAACUCUUGAGCAGCUGGUUUCAGUGGUGUAUGAAGCACAGGAUGAUGAACUGACGCGCUGCUUUCUGAAGAAGGUUUCUGAGGAUCUGACUUCCUGCUCACUGACCUGGGAAGUGAUUCAUUACCUGCUGCAACAUCAAGCUCUAAACCUGAAGUUGGACUUUAGAAAGAGCAAAAUCUCUUUUGAAAACAUCAGAGAACUUCUGCCGGUGUUAGACAGAAUCCAGCUGAAACGGAUGAGCCCCAGCUUCACUCUGUCCAUCAUCAUGGAGAUUUACGAGACUCGCUUUCCUCAGUACGUGUCCAGUCUGUCGAGUUUGGUGAAGAAUUAUAUCAACCUGAAUGGCCGAGUGUUGGACUCUGUUCACUGCGCUGCCCUGCGCUUCACUCUGCAGCACUGCAACACUGUCAAACUCAAUCUGCUCUGGACCUCCAUACCAGCAGAGGAGCUCCAGAGCUUUCUGCCUUUACUCAGCAGAGUCACACAACUCAGUGUUGACAGGCUGCUGUUGCUGAAGCUGCUUCGUUGCUGCAGUUCCUCUGAUCUCCAGCAGGAGGCAGCAGAUGUUCUUCUCUCUGCUCUUCACUACAGACUGGACUUCUCCUGCUGCUCUGCUCUGGAUUUAACAGACACACUGGAAAACCAAGAACAUUUGAAACUAACUGAAAAAGACUGUAGAAUAAUCUCAUCUGUGCUUCAGAAAACUCAGAGUGUUGUGAAAUUAAUUUUACAGGACUGUGAAAUUUCUGAUACAGCUUUGAAACAACUUUGGCCAAUCCUGCCUCAAGUCCAGCUGAGCUGCAGUAAAGCUCUGCUGCUGCAGUUUCUGGCUUGUAUUAGUAAAGAUGGAUCUCAGAGAGGCUCUUUGAGGAGCGCUGAGGCUCUUUCACAGGCUUUGGGAGGAGAGAUGGACCUCAGUCACACUCAGAUGGACCCGAGAGCUUGUGAACAGCUGGCGCUGUUUCUGGAAUAUUCUGAAGGACUAGAACAGAACUGGAAUACUCUCUGCAUGGAGCCGCUGCUAGCCACAUCUGCACAAAACCCAGACCCUGGACCUGAGUCACAAUAUCACAGAUGA